rnacentral:ncRNA from 1 species
UAUGAAGUUACGAUUAGAAAAGUAAUCAGUCCGUGAUUAUAAAGAGAGUCCGAAUGGUGAGAGCGGAUUAAUAGAACUGACGAACACACAUCUAUGAACUGGAUAAUUGAACCAAGUAGGUUAUCCCGCUAGUGAGCGUUACCACGGCUGCUGUGACUGUUCUCUAUUUUAGACGACUAGUGACAGACAGUGUAAGGUCGUUCAUCGUGAGGUGGCGACGAAUAUGAGGUGGGACCGCGAGAAAUCGUCCUCAGA